ACCUCCGGGGAACGCGACUUUGGGCUGCAGCACACGGGAAUAGGAAAUAUCAGAAAGUGGUCACGAGGGUGACGCUGGAGCUGAAACGGCCCGACACCUGUUCUACCUCGGCUGUUCGGCUCAAUUCCGAACCCUCUCAGAGGACACGAAUUUGGGGGCCUGCGCUUCCAGCCUCGGGAUUCUCACUGUCCCCUCGGGCCCCGUGAGUGCUGACCCCGAGGGGCGCCCCUCCCCGGCCACCGCCUCAGCGCGACGGCUGCUUCCCGGGAAUAGCGGCGACCCCUCAGUGCCGACCGACCCCGAGGGUCUUGCUCUGUCACCUAGGCUGGAGUGCAGUGGUGUGAUCACAGCUCACUGGAGCCUCGACCUCCUGGGAUCAAGCGAUUCUCUCACCUCAACCUUUGAACUUCUAGAUAAGUGGUUCUCAAAGUGUGGUCCUUCAACCAACAGCAUCAUCACCACCCAGGAACUUAUUAGAAAUGGAAGUUCUUGCACCCUGCCAAAACCAGAAACUGCGGAUGGGUCCCAGCAAUCUUUAUUUUAACGACUGUUAAGAUCAGAAUCAAGUGAUUCUGAUGCAAACUUAAGUUUGAAAACAUUGUUCUAUUAAAAGUAAUGGCAAAAACCGCAAUUACUUUUGCACCAACCUAAGAGCUCUGCACUGUUCAAUAUGGUAGCCUCUAACUAUUGAAUUUUUUAAUGCUAUAUCUCCUUUAUUCAAAAAUAAAUAUUUCACUUUGAUUCAA